AGUUUUUUAAAAAAAAACUUUAUUCUUAUAGUUAAAAAACUUUCGUAUUCUAAUCAUAAGAAUACCAAUUUUUUAUCCAUAAGGAAAAAUUUCCUAGGUAGAAAAAAACUUUUUUUUCAGUGUGA